UGGGGAAUCUUGCGCAAUGGGGGAAACCCUGACGCAGCAACGCCGCGUGGGUGAUGAAGGCCUUCGGGUCGUAAAGCCCUGUCAGGUGGGAAGAAACUUGUGGAUGUCAACACCAUCCAUGCUUGACGGUACCACCGGAGGAAGCACCGGCUAACUCCGUGCCAGCAGCCGCGGUAAUACGGAGGGUGCAAGCGUUGUUCGGAAUUAUUGGGCGUAAAGCGCGUGUAGGUGGUCGUGUAAGUCAGAUGUGAAAGCCUUCUGCUUAACAGAAGAAGUGCAUUUGAAACUGCUCGGCUAGAGUACGGGAGAGGAGAGUGGAAUUCCCGGUGUAGAGGUGAAAUUCGUAGAUAUCGGGAGGAACACCAGUGGCGAAGGCGGCUCUCUGGUCCGAUACUGACGCUGAGACGCGAAAGCGUGGGGAGCAAACAGGAUUAGAUACCCUGGUAGUCCACGCCGUAAACGAUGGGCACUAGGUGUAGGAGGUAUUGACCCCUUCUGUGCCGAAGCUAACGCAUUAAGUGCCCCGCCUGGGGAGUACGGCCGCAAGGCUA
rnacentral:rRNA from 1 species